rnacentral:tRNA from 1 species
CCCCUGGUGGACUUUGCGAAUCUGCCUCCGGAGCAGAAGGCCGCAGGUUCGAAUCCUGCCGGGGGCA